UACGUAGGGUGCAAGCGUUGUCCGGAAUUAUUGGGCGUAAAGAGCUCGUAGGCGGUCUGUCGCGUCUGCUGUGAAAACCUGGGGCUUAACCCCGGGCCUGCAGUGGGUACGGGCAGACUAGAGUGCGGUAGGGGAGACUGGAAUUCCUGGUGUAGCGGUGAAAUGCGCAGAUAUCAGGAGGAACACCGGUGGCGAAGGCGGGUCUCUGGGCCGUAACUGACGCUGAGGAGCGAAAGCAUGGGGAGCGAACAGG
rnacentral:rRNA from 1 species